rnacentral:misc_RNA from 1 species
GAUGAAGAACGUCGCGAAAUGCGAUAAGUAGUGUGAAUUGCAGAAUUCAGUGAAUCAUCGAAUCUUUGAACGCACAUUGCGCCCUUUGGUAUUCCUUAGGGCAUGCCUGUUCGAGCGUCAUUUAAACCUUCAAGCUAAGCUUGGUGUUGGGUGACUGUCCGCUUCACGGCGGACUCGCCUCAAAAUUAUUGGCGGCCGGUACAUUGGCUUCGAGCGCAGCAGAAACGCGAACUCGGGCCCGUCGUAUUGGCUCCCAGAAGCUAUCUUCACAAUUUUGACCUCGGAUCAGGUAGGGAUACCCGCUGAACUUAAGCAUAUCAAUAAGCGGAGGA